rnacentral:lncRNA from 1 species
GAGCUGGACCGAUACUCCCCUGAAACAUUGAUAGAUGAGGGCAGGAAGGCUAGGAGGUUCCAGUGGGGCCUCCGCCCAGAGAUCAAGCAGCACUUAUUGGUACUAGACCUCAAGACAUAUUCAGCCGUUCUGACAAAGGCGCAGAUCAUGGAGAGGAGUUUCAACACCCUUCCUCAGUCAGCAGGGAGUCACAGACCCUCAGCUCCACCCCGCAGACUAGCACCUACUGCACCUGUCCAAUAAAAUAAGAGGCCCAGACCGACGAUCC